rnacentral:rRNA from 1 species
CGGUAAUUCCAGCUCCAAUAGCGUAUAUUAAAAUUGUUGCGGUUAAAACGCUCGUAGUUGGAUAUUUGUUGAGGACUGCCGGUCUACCCUAGUGGUGAGCACUCGGUACGUCCUCGGCAUUUUUCCGGGGACAGUGUUUGCACUUAAUUGUGUGGCACAUGAUCCAGCACUUUUACUUUGAGGAAAUGAGAGUGUUUCAAGCAGGCGUUCGUCAUGAAUACGUUAGCAUGGAAUAAUAGCAUAGGACCCCGUUCUGAAGCUGUUGGUUUUUGGAACGUGGUAAUGAAAAUAGGGAUAGUUGGGGGCAUUCGUAUUUAACUGUCAGAGGUGAAAUUCUUGGAUUUUUUAAAGACGAACUACUGCGAAAGCAUCUGCCCAGGAUGUUUUUAUUAAUCAAGAACGAAAGUUAGGGGAUCGAAGACGAUCAGAUACCGUCCUAGUCUUAACCUUAAACAAUGCCGACUAGAGAUUGGAGUCGUCAGAAUCUUGACGCCUUCAGCAACUUGAGAGAAAUCAAAGUCUUUGGGUUCCGGGGGGAGUAUGGUCGCAAGGCUGAAACUUAAAGGAAUUGACGGAAGGGCACCACCAGGAGUGGAGCCUGCGGCUUAAUUUGACUCAACACGGGGAAACUUACCAGGUCCAGACAUAGAGAGGAUUGACAGACUGAUAGCUCUUUCUUGAUUCUAUGGGUGAUGGUGCAUGGCCGUUCUUAGUUGGUGGAGUGAUUUGUCUGGUUAAUUCCGUUAACGAACGAGACCUUAACCUGCUAAAUAGUUCCUAGAACCCCAGGGUUUCAAGGUGACUUCUUAGAGGGACUUCGUGGGUUUACCAUGAGGAAGCGUGAGGCAAUAACAGGUCUGUGAUGCCCUUAGAUGUUCUGGGCUGCACGCGCGCUACACUGAUGCGUCCAACGAGCACCGAACCUACUCCGGAAGGAAUGGGUAACCUUGUGAAAGCGCAUCGUGAUGGGGAUAGAUUAUUGCAAUUAUUAAUCUUGAACGAGGAAUUCCUAGUAAGCGCAAGUCAUCAGCUUGUGCUGAUUACGUCCCUGCCCUUUGUACACACCGCCC